AGUGAAGACAGUGUGGAGGGAAAAAGGUUGAUUUCUCUCAUUUGAUGACCACAUGGAAGAAAGUUUGGACAGAACUGAAGCAAGGAUUGUUGCUUUGUUGGUUUUUUUUUUUUCUCCAAAACAAAACAAACACAAGGAAUUAAGCUUCACACACAGUGACCAUACCGUCAUCUCUACCUGCACUCAGGACUCCCUCGUUGCAAGAAGGCUUCCCUGACAACUCACCACCCACCUUAGAAGAGCAGUAAGAGCCCAUCUGAGAAGGAAAGGUCCCAUCCUGAAGGACCCAGUUGUGUCACACUUGGCCGUUCUUGUCAUACCUGGCACACUGUCACCUUCCCGAAGAGAUUCGACGUAAGAACAAUAAUGCCCUCUCGCUGAAGGAUCAUACGGUUUGAUGGAGUCGACCACAUUUUCAAGUGGUAAUUGGAUUUUCCAUCCUAGGAAUUAAAAAACACAGCCUCUGUAAAUCUUACUUUGACUUGUAACGCUGUUUAUAUGAUCAUUCGUACUAUCAGCUUGUUUUGUGGUUUAUUUUUCUAUAUUCUGAUAUAUUCCCAGCUCUUCUCCUGGACAGCCAUUUCCCCUUCCUGGCUCAUAUUGCACGAACAUUUUUUAUAAUGCUUCUUUCAUCUGAUUUUAAAAAUGCUUUGAUCAAAAUCUCCCUUCUGAAAACUGAAUGUGGUUUGAAUCAUCAAGCCAUGACUAUUGCUAAUAAAAGGAAAGAACUGACUUUAA